rnacentral:lncRNA from 1 species
GCUUAGUGAUUAUGAGUAUCAAGGAGCUGAGCCAGCCUCAGAAACAGUUCCUUAACAUUGUUAAAAAGCAUACUAAGGCAUUUGAAACUCUCAGAUUUUUGGAAGAAUGUAAGCUUAACUAAGUCUACCUGAAGAUCUUUUUUAAUAUAAAGCUUCCCAUGAACUCUCAGAAGGUUCUGAAUAAUACAAGGAGAAUUUGCCUCAAGAUUGCGAUAUCUGAUGCCAAAAGGAGAUACUAUAAAAUCAAAUACGAUGAAACAAUCUCUAGGGAUCUAAUUGCCUAAGACCCAGCUAUGGAGCCAUUCUUUAAGGAUGUACAUUGAGAAGAGGCAUUGAAAAAACCUUAAAGAGGAAAUAUGUAAAAAAGCUUAAGUGGAUCAUCAAACAACAACAUGUUCUGCCAAGGAAGAUGAAAAUUAACAUCAAGGAGGCCAUAACAGUUAUAGGUAAUAUUCUAAUACCCUCCUAUGCAAUGGAGUUAAUAAUAAAAGGACCAUCCUGUGCAAUAUGCACUAACAUGCACCCAAUCGACGAAAUACCAGUCAUGGAAUCCAUUCUUACAUUGUUGGAUGAUGCUGAUCUGCAAAAAGAAGCCUUCAGGUGGUCUUUUGUUAGGGAAAGGAUGUCUUCAAAUAUCUUCAGCCAGACCCAACCUAGAAGCUGUAACAACCACCUAUUAAAGAAAACAAUAAUUUGACAGAAUCUCGGCACUUUCUGCAGUCGAAAACAGGAAGAAAGCCUUGGGAGCACCCCCAGGCACGGAAAUAUGUCCUUGCUAAUCAUAAAAAAGCUUAUGAUAGGAUGAUUGAUAUGAUAACGUCAUGAUUAGAAACUGAUGACUGAAGUUCCUUUUAUAUAUCCUAC